UACGAAGGGGGGCUAGCGUUGUUCGGAAUCACUGGGCGUAAAGGGCGCGUAGGCGGCUUUGCAAGUGACGGGUGAAAGCCCUCGGCUUAACCGAGGAACUGCCUGUCAGACUGUGAGGCUUGAGACCGGGAGAGGUGAGUGGAAUUCCCAGUGUAGCGGUGAAAUGCGUAGAUAUUGGGAGGAACACCAGUGGCGAAGGCGGCUCACUGGACCGGAACUGACGCUGAGGCGCGAAAGCGUGGGGAUCAAACAGG
rnacentral:rRNA from 1 species